CGAGCGAACGGACGAGAAGCUUGCUUCUCUGAUGUUAGCGGCGGACGGGUGAGUAACACGUGGAUAACCUACCUAUAAGACUGGGAUAACUUCGGGAAACCGGAGCUAAUACCGGAUGAUAUUUUGAACCGCAUGGUUCAAAAGUGAAAGACGGUCUUGCUGUCACUUAUAGAUGGAUCCGCGCUGCAUUAGCUAGUUGGUAAGGUAACGGCUUACCAAGGCAACGAUGCAUAGCCGACCUGAGAGGGUGAUCGGCCACACUGGAACUGAGACACGGUCCAGACUCCUACGGGAGGCAGCAGUAGGGAAUCUUCCGCAAUGGGCGAAAGCCUGACGGAGCAACGCCGCGUGAGUGAUGAAGGUCUUCGGAUCGUAAAACUCUGUUAUUAGGGAAGAACAUAUGUGUAAGUAACUGUGCACAUCUUGACGGUACCUAAUCAGAAAGCCACGGCUAACUACGUGCCAGCAGCCGCGGUAAUACGUAGGUGGCAAGCGUUAUCCGGAAUUAUUGGGCGUAAAGCGCGCGUAGGCGGUUUUUUAAGUCUGAUGUGAAAGCCCACGGCUCAACCGUGGAGGGUCAUUGGAAACUGGAAAACUUGAGUGCAGAAGAGGAAAGUGGAAUUCCAUGUGUAGCGGUGAAAUGCGCAGAGAUAUGGAGGAACACCAGUGGCGAAGGCGACUUUCUGGUCUGUAACUGACGCUGAUGUGCGAAAGCGUG
rnacentral:rRNA from 1 species